rnacentral:rRNA from 1 species
AUACGUAGGUGACAAGCGUUAUCCGGAUUUACUGGGCGUAAAGGGCGUGUAGGCGGUCUUGCAAGUCAGAAGUGAAAUUCCUGAGCUCAACUCGGGCGCUGCUUCUGAAACUGCAGGACUUGAGUGCUGGAGGGGAUAGCGGAAUUCCUAGUGGAGCGGUAAAAUGCGCAGAUAUUAGGAAGAACACCGGUGGCGAAGGCGGCUAUCUGGACAGUAACUGACGCUGAGGCGCGAAAGCGUGGGGAGCAAACAGGAUUAGAUACCCUGGUAGUCCACGCCCUAAACGAUGAAUACUAGGUGUGGGGGGACUGACCCCUUCCGUGCCGGAGUAAACACAAUAAGUAUUCCACCUGGGGAGUACGACCGCAAGGUUGAAACUCAAAGGAAUUGACGGGG